ensembl:ncRNA lncRNA:CR43940 long non-coding RNA:CR43940
AGUUCGUAUACAUAACAUAUAUACGCUUUUCAUGUUAUGUCGUGCAUUAGCCAGUCACAGUUUUUUUCCAGUGCAGGUAGGGGCAAAAGCUGGGCAGCAGUAGAGGACAGGAGGCUGGAGGAACCCAGGACUGCGACGAGCGCGGCUCACUCGCUUAUCUUCCCCGCGGCUAUUGGCGUCGUGCAACAUUGCAGGAGCCGGAGCAGGAGCCUUUUCCUGGGCCUGCGCUGCUGCUGCUGGAAGACCGGCCAGAAGAAGAGGAAGGAGGACCUGGCGAACGGACGAACUGGCGAACUGGCGAAUGAGCGAAGAAGCGACCAUGGGCCAUGGGCCAUGGGCCACGACCAUGUCGCUGAUGAUUCGCAUUCGUGUAUCGCAAGCGGGCCACAGCCGCAGCUUUUGGCUUCCCCCGAAAUUUGAAUCUGCCUGCAUCUGAGGACUUAACGAAUAUGAACGAAAUGGCCCGGGGCUGUUUCAAAAUAUUACCACACUCGAGUAUUCGAGCAGGGCUACGUACUACAUAUACAUGCGUUGGACUCCGAGCCCAAGUGAAUGCGGAAAAUUAUGGCGAGGUAGUUGCAGAUACAAACACUCAAUCACAAGGGCUCCAUUUGCAUACGCCGCUCCCCCCGCCCAAGUCCAGUCCAGAAAUCCAUGAGGUCUAAGCAGUCCCAUUAGCCAUAACCCCUAGAAAUCUUAGGCUCUGUCCUGGAAGUGCCUAUUCCUUUCGCUCUGAGGGAUUGUUCCAUUUAAGGGCCUUCUGCUCUAAAGUUACGUUCGUUAAUUAGACAUUUUUCUAGAUGCAUUGUGAGCGGGGGAAUUUUUAGUGGGCUUAUUCAGAAUAAAUCUUUGGGUUAUAUUCUA